rnacentral:rRNA from 1 species
UACGGAGGGGGCGAGCGUUGUCCGAAGUUACUGGGCGUAAAGCGCGCGUAGGCGGGUUGGUAAGUCCGCUGUGAAAGCCCGGAGCUCAACUCCGGAGGGUCGGUGGAUACUGCCAGUCUUGAAGGUGCUAGGGGGAGAUGGAAUUACCGGUGUAGCGGUGAAAUGCGUAGAUAUCGGUAGGAACACCAGUGGCGAAGGCGGUCUCCUGGGGCAUUCUUGACGCUGAGGAGCGAAAGCGUGGGGGAGCAAACAGG